UCGCUUAUAAUUUUCGGGUUAUUUUUGAUUCUUUUACGUCGGCGGUCCCGAAAUAAACGAGAUUUUUGGACAAAACUGAGAUAUUUCAGUCGGGGAUGGAAAAGUUUGUCGCACGCUGUGACAAUUAAGAAAAAGACAAGACAAAGCAUUGGGAUUAUUUCAAUUUUGCCAAAAUAUUUACUUUUCGGCGAAAUUAUUAUUUCGUUUACGGCAACUACGUGACAAUUUUACCAACAUGGCAGCAUUCCAGAUCACGUUUGUUCCAUGUAAUUUGAGGAUAAUAAAAGAGCGGAAUGUGAAGAGCGACGUGAGCUAUUCACAAAUCGGGUCACGUGAACGGGAAAGCAUGUAAACGUUUAGCGUAAUCUGAUAUUUGCAACAAGAAAUUGUAUACGGUGAAGACUAUCUUGGAAAUGAGAUUAAAGGGUUCAAGAUACAGACCAUAAGUGUGAAUAAGUAUAUUCUUAAAGAAAAUAUAUAGCCACAAAAAUAUUCGACGAAACCUACGGUUGAUGCAGUGUUUGUUUGUGGUGCCUCCUCAGCGACGAUUUAUCCGUGAACGACCGAUCACAAUCCCUACAUUUAAAGGUCUUCCCUGUAUGGGUGACCAAAUGCCGACUCAAACCCGAGGCAUGACAAAAUACUUUCGGACACAAGGAACAAUAGUGUAAAUUGAUAUCAUGCGAGCCUUCCGUCAUGUGCGUCCUCAGAUGGAUCCUCAGUGGCUCCCUCUGCGUAAAACCUUUGUUACAAUGGGUGCAAUUGUACGGUUUCUGUCCCGAAUGUGUCAUCAAAUGCCGAUACAGAAUCUCCUUCUGGGCAAAACUCUUCUGGCAUAUCUCACACUGGAAGGGUCUCUCCCCCGUAUGAAUCCUCUCGUGACGCACCAAAGCCGACCUAGUGGGAAACCACUUCUCGCACAUCCCGCAACUGAAACCUCUCUGUUGCAUGUGAACCGAGGCGUGCCUUCGCAGCUGAAUCCUCCGUGCGAAGGACUUGGGGCAUUGGGGACACUUGAAGAUUUUCAAUUCGCCUUCUUCGUUGACUUCCGGCACGGUGGAGCUCAUUUGGGGCGCUUCGGCCUCUUCUUCGGUCAUCAGUUCCAUGACUAUGACUGUGCCGUUUUCUGUGGUCACCUCCACCUGAGUCAGCUUGCCCUCCGUGGGGAUAAUUUUCAUCUGCAGCUGGCCAGACACGUCAAAACCUGGAACGAUACAUUUGAAUUGAAAAUAUCGUUAUAGUUAUAGUUCCGCUUUUUUGAAUAGUUUGCCGUAAUUAAGAAAAUAAAAAAAGUGUCGAAUCAAUAAAAAUCGAUCCAAUAUGAUA